rnacentral:misc_RNA from 1 species
GAUGAAGAACGUAGCGAAAUGCGAUAAUUAAUGUGAAUUGCAGAAUUCCGUGAAUCAUCGAGUCUUUGAACGCACAUUGCGCCUCAUGGCAUUCCGUGAGGCAUGCCCAUCUCAGCGUUAGAAAAUAUUCUCAAAUUUUAGUUUUGUGCUAAAAUUUGGAUCAUGUCAAGGAAGCUAUUACUAUUAUUGUGAUCGCUCUUUGGAAAUUGAUAGGUCUUUGAGUUGCUACUCAUAGAACGUGAUGAAUCUUUCUUCGUUCUAUUGUAAUUCACUCUGGUAGUCCUAAAACUUGUAUGCCUGUGGCAUAUCUUGUAAUUUGACCUGAGAUUGGGUAGGGAUACCCGCUGAACUUAAGCAUAUCAAUAAGCGGAGGG